rnacentral:lncRNA from 10 species
GGUGAAUAGUCUGUUCUGUAUAGCUGCAUUUUAUACAUAAUAAUUAUGUACUGACUGAAGUCAGUGGUACGCUGAUAAACUGGCCUGGCCAAAAAGUAACAGAGAAGGAAAAAAACCCUGGUUUGUAUGUUUGCCAAUUUCUUUGGUGUGAAAAUACCUACCAUAGCCCCUUUUGAGCCAUCAGUAGUUUAAUAACUGGCUCACAGAAGUCUUCUAUAUUUAACUAUCUGCUCAGCCAGCUAGCUCCAGCCUACCAUUGCAAGUUGAAAUAUAUUUUUGCUAUAGAACGUCAUAGCCACAAAUGUUAUUACUUAUGCAACAAGUAUCCACAGAUUGAGUUCUCAUAUAACUCUUCUAGAAUAUUAUGCUCUUAAUACCUCAAAGUAAUUAUGAAGUAGUAAAAGAAAUGAAAUUAGAAUAGAGAUGUAUAGCAAUUGACUGAAAUUGUCACCCACCUGUCUCUGUUUGCAGCCUUUUCUGUCUCUACUUCCUGGUGUCAUUUAUAUUCUUAAGAAGCUGCAUUCAUGAUUUCUAAAAAGUUUGGCUAACGUUACUGCCAGUAGGGAGCAGAUCUGUGUAUGGCAUUCAGGGACCUCCACAAAUCUGGACCUAACUUUGUCUCUAGCCUUCCAUUAUCAAUCUGGACCUAACUUUGUUUUUAGCCUUCCAUUAUCAACCUGCACAAAACAGUAUCUGGCUAAGCCUUACACACUUGUCCUGUGCCUUUGUUGUCGUAUCCCUAUGUAAAUACCUUCUCCACCUUCCCAUUCCUUCAUGGAUGACUUCCCAGACCUUCCCACUCAUCUUUUGAAUGUGUUUAUUGCUGACUUGGCAAUGCAUCAAAAUCUUUUUUUUUUUUUUUUUUUUUUGGUCACAGGUAUUACUGUCUUACAGUGUGAAUACCCCAUGAAAACGUAGAACUCUUUGCAACUUAUGUCACACCUGUAUCUUCAAGGGCAAGGAUUAUUUGUUGCUAUAGUUUUUAUGUCACUAAAGUACCUUUUAGUGUCAUAUACAUAGUAGAUAACACUGGAUAAUAAUAAUAAAAAAGACUAAGAAUGCUAAAGUAGUCUAGGAAUUCCUAAAUCUUAAUAAAAACUGAGAAAUAAAGUUGUGAUACUAUAUAACACUUAAGGCACGAGUAAUUUUUUUUUCACCGUUUCCCCUCCAUGGCUAUGAAGGAACUGGGAGAAGGAUGCUCCUUUCAUUAAUUAAAAUUCUUCACUUUGAAAAUUUAAGUUUAUUAGGGAAGGAAGGAAGAAAAAUAUGAAGAUGUAAGUAUACAUACCUUGGAGUAAGUAUUUCCUU